rnacentral:rRNA from 1 species
UAAAAAGCAAAUAAGGGCGUAUGGCGGAUGCCUUGGCUCUCAGAGGCGAUGAAGGACGUAAUAAGCUGCGAUAAGCUGCGGGUAGGAGCAAAUAUCCUUUAAUCCGCAGAUUUCCGAAUGGGGAAACCCGGCUAGUUGAAGACUAGUCAUCGAAAGAAGCAAACCUGGUGAACUGAAACAUCUAAGUAACCAGAGGAAAAUAAAACAAAAGUGAUUCCCUCAGUAGCGGCGAGCGAAAUGGGAAUAGCCCAAACCAAAAAUGUUUCGGCAUAUUUGGGGUUGUAGGACUGCAAUAUGGACUGUUAAUUUAUAGUGGAAUAUUCUGGAAAGUUUAAUCAUAGAAGGUGAAAAUCCUGUACACGAAAUAAUUUAACUACCUAGCAGUAUCCUGAGUAGGGCGGGACACGUGAAAUCCUGUCUGAAUCUACCAGGACCAUCUGGUAAGGCUAAAUACUACUGAGAGACCGAUAGCGAACAAGUACCGUGAGGGAAAGGUGAAAAGUACCCUGAACAAGGGAGUGAAAUAGUUCCUGAAACCAUACGCUUACAAGCUGUAGGAGCCCUUCGGGGUGACUGCGUGCCUUUUGCAUAAUGAGCCUACGAGUUACUCGUAUCUAGCAAGGUUAAGUCAUUAAUUGACGUAGCCGAAGCGAAAGCAAGUCUGAAUAGGGCGUUUAGUUAGGUGCGGUAGACGCGAAACCUUGUGAUCUACCCAUGACCAGGUUGAAGUUCCGGUAACACGGAAUGGAGGACCGAACCAGUUGACGUUGAAAAGUCUUUGGAUGAGUUGUGGGUAGGGGUGAAAGGCCAAUCAAACUAGGAAAUAGCUCGUACUCCCCGAAAUGCAUUUAGGUGCAGCCU